AUUGAACGCUGGCGGCAUGCUUUACACAUGCAAGUCGAACGGUAACAGGGUGCUUGCACCGCUGACGAGUGGCGAACGGGUGAGUAAUGCAUCGGAAUGUACCGUGUAAUGGGGGAUAGCUCGGCGAAAGCCGGAUUAAUACCGCAUACGCCCUGAGGGGGAAAGUGGGGGACCGAAAGGCCUCACGUUAUACGAGCAGCCGAUGUCUGAUUAGCUAGUUGGUGAGGUAAAGGCUCACCAAGGCGUCGAUCAGUAGCGGGUCUGAGAGGAUGAUCCGCCACACUGGGACUGAGACACGGCCCAGACUCCUACGGGAGGCAGCAGUGGGGAAUUUGGACAAUGGGCGCAAGCCUGAUCCAGCCAUGCCGCGUGUCUGAAGAAGGCCUUCGGGUUGUAAAGGACUUUUGUCCGGGAGCAAAUCCUAGUGGUUAAUAACCGCUGGGUCUGAGAGUACCGGAAGAAUAAGCACCGGCUAACUACGUG
rnacentral:rRNA from 1 species